rnacentral:lncRNA from 10 species
GACUGCUGGCCAGACCCCCAAGCUAGCCCGCCAGGCCUCCAUAGAGCUGCCCAGCAUGGCUGCGUCCAGUACCAAGAGUUGGUGGGAGACGGGUGAAGUACAGGCUCAGUCUGCGGCCAAGACUCCAUCCUGCAAGAUGGACUCUGUGACUACAUGACUAAUAAAAUAUGGCAGAAAUGACACCAUGCAGUUUCCAAGCCCAGGCCUUAGGAGACAGGCAGCUUCCAGUUCAGUCUUUUGGAGGGUCAGCUCUGGGGCCCUCAGCCAUCACGCAUGGAGUCCAACCACCCUGAGACGUCAUGCUGGAGACCCACCUGUGGAUGCCCCAGUCAAGAGUCCUGGCUGAGCCCAGCCUCCCAGCCACCCCCACCCAAGGCAUCAGACCACGAAGCUUCUGGCCAAGGCUUCACCAACUUCACUUGAUGCUGUGAGGAACAGAACUGCCCAUCCAAGCCCUGCCAGAAUUUCUAACCCACAAAGCCAUGAGUCACAAUAAAUGCCAUGGGAC